rnacentral:rRNA from 1 species
GCUAAUACCGCAUACGUCCUACGGGAGAAAGCAGGGGAUCUUCGGACCUUGCGCUAAUAGAUGAGCCUAAUCGGAUUAGCUAGUUGGUGGGGUAAAGGCCUACCAAGGCGACGAUCUGUAGCGGGUCUGAGAGGAUGAUCCGCCACACUGGGACUGAGACACGGCCCAGACUCCUACGGGAGGCAGCAGUGGGGAAUAUUGGACAAUGGGGGGAACCCUGAUCCAGCCAUGCCGCGUGUGUGAAGAAGGCCUUAUGGUUGUAAAGCACUUUAAGCGA